GAUGAACGCUGGCGGCGUGCCUAACGCAUGCAAGUCGAGCGAGGACCGCUUGGUGGCAACACCGGGCGACUCCUAGCGGCGAACGGGUGAGUAACACGUGGGUAACCUGCCCCUGACACCGGGAUAAGCCUGGGAAACUGGGUCUAAUACCGGAUAUGAGCCUUCAUCGCAUGGUGAAGGCUGGAAAGGGUCUCUGGUCAGGGAUGGGCCCGCGUCCUAUCAGCUAGUUGGUGGGGUGAUGGCCUACCAAGGCGACGACGGGUAGCCGGCCUGAGAGGGUGUACGGCCACACUGGGACUGAGACACGGCCCAGACUCCUACGGGGGGCAGCAGCGGGGAAUAUUGCGCAAUGGGCGAAAGCCUGACGCAGCGACGCCGCGUGCGGGACGAAGGCCUUCGGGUCGUAAACCGCUUUCAGCAGGGACGAAGCGCAAGUGACGGUACCUGCAGAAGAAGGUCCGGCCAACUACGUGCCAGCAGCCGCCGUAACAC
rnacentral:rRNA from 1 species